CUAUGUUGUGCGUCCGUCUGAGGUCGUUGUAUCUCGUGUCUGGUUACAUCAAUUCCCGCUACUCCGCCUGGAAAGUGUUUCCAAUUAUUAACCAUGUUCAUCCAUUGCUCAGGGGUAGCCGGUAGGCCAUUGAACUAAGUUUCUAAAGUAAGUCCACAACAGCAUUGGCAGUAGAAAGCGGAUUUAUGUCUCUAUCGUGGUUGGACUGACCAUGAACAAUGCACUUAACGUUGUAAUAUUAGGAUACAUUCGUAGCCAGGGCCGCCAAGGGGCAGGGGGGGGAAUUGCCCCGGGCCCCGAGGCUCUGGGGCCCCUAGAAAUUUAAUGUUAGAAAUUUAAUGGGCUCCAGUCAUUCUUUCAGGCGAAAUAAUUCUGUUAUCGGGCCAAAAUAUUUGUAUUUUGGGGGUAAUGAACCGAAAUUUGGUAUGGAAAAUUGCGGAAAAGUCCAACGAAAGCAAUUAUAACGCACCUAAAAAGAAUUUAUUGUGCGAAAAAAAUUUUUCCGGAAAAUUUUUUUGCAAUAGGGGC